rnacentral:rRNA from 1 species
GGGUUGUGAGGUUAAGCGACUAAGCGUACACGGUGGAUGCCCUGGCAGUCAGAGGCGAUGAAGGACGUGCUAAUCUGCGAUAAGCGUCGGUAAGGUGAUAUGAACCGUUAUAACCGGCGAUUUCCGAAUGGGGAAACCCAGUGUGAUUCAUCACACUAUCAUUAACUGAAUCCAUAGGUUAAUGAGGCGAACCGGGGGAACUGAAACAUCUAAGUACCCCGAGGAAAAGAAAUCAACCGAGAUUCCCCCAGUAGCGGCGAGCGAACGGGGAG